rnacentral:rRNA from 1 species
CAUUGCUGGAACGCGCUUCGGCGCACCCAGAAACCCUUUGUGAACUUAUACCUUACUGUUGCCUCGGCGCAGGCCGGCCCCCCCACCGGGGCCCCUCGGAGACGAGGAGCAGCCCGCCGGCGGCCAACCAAACUCUUGUUUCUUAGUGAAUCUCUGAGUAAAAAAACAUAAAUGAAUCAAAACUUUCAACAACGGAUCUCUUGGUUCUGGCAUCGAUGAAGAACGCAGCGAAAUGCGAUAAGUAAUGUGAAUUGCAGAAUUCAGUGAAUCAUCGAAUCUUUGAACGCACAUUGCGCCCUCUGGUAUUCCGGAGGGCAUGCCUGUUCGAGCGUCAUUUCAACCCUCAAGCCUGGCUUGGUGUUGGGGCACUGCUCCGAGAGGAGCAGGCCCUGAAAUCUAGUGGCGAGCUCGCCAGGACCCCGAGCGUAGUAGUUAUAUCUCGUUCUGGAAGGCCCUGGCGGUGCCCUGCCGUUAAACCCCCAACUUCUGAAAUUUUGACCUCGGAUCAGGUAGGAAUACCC